rnacentral:rRNA from 1 species
UACGUAGGGUGCGAGCGUUGUCCGGAAUUAUUGGGCGUAAAGAGCUCGUAGGCGGUCUGUCGCGUCGAUCGUGAAAACUUGGGGCUUAACCCUGAGCUUGCGGUCGAUACGGGCAUGACUGGAGUUCGGCAGGGGGAGACUGGAAUUCCUGGUGUAGCGGUGAAAUGCGCAGAUAUCAGGAGGAACACCGGUGGCGAAAGGCGGCCCCCUGGACCGGUACUGACGCCUGAGGCGCGAAAGCGUGGGUAGCAAACGGG